GGGCUUGUAGUUUAAUCGGUAAAACAACGGUCUCCAAAACCGUAGUCCUCAGUUCGAUUCUGGGCGAGCCUGCCA
rnacentral:tRNA from 1 species